CUGUUUCUGUAUUUGGCGAGUAUAAACUACGUGAAAUACGCUCCUCGCCACGACUUCAGAAGGAAGUUCAUGGCAGACGGCACAUGGCUAUUGCAAGGUUAAAUAUAAUUCGCAAAUAUGGAUGCCACACCAAUGACAAAAUCCAACAAGAUCUACAUGUCCUCACUGAAGUUACCAGACCCAAGUCACAGGCAUAAGGAGAACCUUGGACCACAAAGGCCGAUAGAUACAAGACCUCUGUGCUACGAUUUGGGCUGCAUUUGGUUCUUCAGAGUCAUGGGCAGUAUUAUCACAAUAGCGCUGUGCUACUAUUUCGCUUACACCCUCAUAUCGGACACUAAACUCAAAUUUGGAUUAUUCAUACCGUAAAUAGUCGAUAAGUCUUUUUACAUCUCCAGUAAACAGUAGUAAGUCUCCUUUCAUGUGGAAGUGAGACGGCACUACACCUCAUAUAACGGCGUCCCUCUCUUUCA